CAGCCGCCGCGGGAAUACGAAGGGUGCAAGCGUUACUCGGAAUUACUGGGCGUAAAGCGUGCGUAGGUGGUGGUUUAAGUCCGUUGUGAAAGCCCUGGGCUCAACCUGGGAAUUGCAGUGGAUACUGGGUCACUAGAGUGUGGUAGAGGAUAGUGGAAUUUCCGGUGUAGCAGUGAAAUGCGUAGAGAUCGGAAGGAACAUCUGUGGCGAAGGCGACUAUCUGGGCCAUUACUGACACUGAGGCACGAAAGCGUGGGGAGCAAACAGGAUUAGAUACCCCGGUAGUCCCUGUCUCUUAUAC
rnacentral:rRNA from 1 species